UUUAUACAGAAGCUACCGCUCUUGGUAAAUCUUUAAGUGGCAGAUUUCUUGUUGUUUGCCUCGAGGAUAUAAGUCCUUACCUGGGAGGGGUUGAGUUCAAUGACCCUCA